rnacentral:ncRNA from 1 species
UACGAAGUUAUUACGAGUUGGAGCACGCCUGUCGGGACCCGAAAGAUGGUGAACUAUGCCUGAGCGGGGCGAAGCCAGAGGAAACUCUGGUGGAGGCUCGAAGCGAUACUGACGUGCAAAUCGUUCGUCUGACUUGGGUAUAGGGGCGAAAGGUGAAUCGAACCAUCUAGUAGCUGGUUCCCUCCGAAGUUUCCCUCAGGAUAGCUGGAGCCCAUUACGAGUUCUAUCAGGUAAAGCCAAUGAUUAGAGGCAUUGGGGACGCAACGUCCUCGACCUAUUCUCAAACUUUAAA